rnacentral:lncRNA from 1 species
GCAGAGACCUAGCGGACAGUUUUCCGGUGGCAGCAAUGCUCAUUUCCCGGACACAGAUGGUUUUUGGCCCCUGAAGAACUCUUUAAUCCCUGCGUUUUGUAGCGCUCGUUCUCUUUACAGGGCUUUCACUCCUGGGUCGAAAAAGGUCACCAACUCCUACUAAAUCUUAAACAUUAACAGCAACUGAAGCCUCAUCUUCAGACCUAAGAGAAGAUGAAAAUCAGAAGAAGCUGCAUUCACAAGACCUGUGUCCAGAAAAUUAAACUAUUCAACCCCCUAGUCCCAGGGACUAUUGCAGAAGAAGUGGGUGUUUGGACUUGUAAGGACCUACUUUAAGAGAGAAAGUUAGUUCAGUAUUUCUCUAUAAACAGUGGUUUUGUUUUGUUUUGUUUUGUUUUGUUUUGUUUUGACAGGAACUAGCUCUGUCACCUGGGUUGGAAUGCAGUGGCAUGAUCCUGGCUCACUGCAACCUCCAUCUCCCAGACACAAGCGAUCCUGCCACCUCAGCCUCCUGAGUAGCUGGGACUGCAGGUGUGUACCACCAUGCCUGGCUAAUUUUUGUAUUUUUUGUAGAGACAGUGUUUCAUCACAUUGCCAAGGCUAGUCUCAAACUCCUGAGAUCAAGGAAUCCACCCACCUAUGCCUCUCAAAGUACUGAGAUUACAGAUGUGAGCCACAAUGGCCAGCCUAUAAAGAUUAAUAUAAAAGGAACACUGAUGCAAGACCAGCCUGUGGGCCCCUGUGUCAGAUUAGCAAUGUUUUCUUGAGGUAUUAACCCAUUCUUUUUUUAAACAUUAUAAAACGUUAUGAAAGGUUUAUAAAAUUAUUGCUUCUGGUCAAGAUGAUUAAAAUUUAAUACACUUGUCUAUAAGAUUUGAGAAAUAGAUUUAAUUGGCUUCAUUCUAUCUUCAUUAGGUCUUAUUUUUUGGGAAAGUAAGUCUCAAAGAGUAAAAGGUUUUGCCUUUUUGUUUUUGAAAUAUUUGAGUUACCACUUUGACUAAAUGACUGACUUAUUUUACAAUGACCUGUGAUUCUAUUUUGUGAUAUCAAGUGUUUUAAACAUUGACCUUGUUUUAAGUAUUUGACAAACUUUCUAAAAUCCAAUUCUAAAUUCGGUCUUUUUUACCUCAUUAAUUUUUUUGACAUUAAGUCCCCUGAAAUCCAAAGAGAUAUAUUUGGCUUAUUUGGCAUAAUAAGAUCACAUAAGAUGCAUUAUCAAAUAUGAAAUGAUAUUUAACUUUCUUUAGAUUGUAUUUAUAUGAAUGUCUUAUUAGUAUGUAUUACAAAAUCGUAUGAGAUUCCUGUGAUUCUGAAAUGUUAGUGUAUGUUAUCAGAACUAAUUAUGAUCAUUAUAUUAAAUUGUUGUACGCCAUAGCUAUAACCAAA